rnacentral:tRNA from 1 species
GGAGAGGUGCCGGAGUGGCCGAACGGGCCUGACUCGAAAUCAGGUAGCCUCGCAAGGGGCUCUAGGGUUCAAAUCCCUACCUCUCCGCCA